UCGAACGAACUCUGGUAUUGAUUGGUGCUUGCAUCAUGAUUUACAUUUGAGUGAGUGGCGAACUGGUGAGUAACACGUGGGAAACCUGCCCAGAAGCGGGGGAUAACACCUGGAAACAGAUGCUAAUACCGCAUAACAACUUGGACCGCAUGGUCCGAGUUUGAAAGAUGGCUUCGGCUAUCACUUUUGGAUGGUCCCGCGGCGUAUUAGCUAGAUGGUGGGGUAACGGCUCACCAUGGCAAUGAUACGUAGCCGACCUGAGAGGGUAAUCGGCCACAUUGGGACUGAGACACGGCCCAAACUCCUACGGGAGGCAGCAGUAGGGAAUCUUCCACAAUGGACGAAAGUCUGAUGGAGCAACGCCGCGUGAGUGAAGAAGGGUUUCGGCUCGUAAAACUCUGUUGUUAAAGAAGAACAUAUCUGAGAGUAACUGUUCAGGUAUUGACGGUAUUUAACCAGAAAGCCACGGCUAACUACGUGCCAGCAGCCGCGGUAAUACGUAGGUGGCAAGCGUUGUCCGGAUUUAUUGGGCGUAAAGCGAGCGCAGGCGGUUUUUUAAGUCUGAUGUGAAAGCCUUCGGCUCAACCGAAGAAGUGCAUCGGAAACUGGGAAACUUGAGUGCAGAAGAGGACAGUGGAACUCCAUGUGUAGCGGUGAAAUGCGUAGAUAUAUGGAAGAACACCAGUGGCGAAGGCGGCUGUCUGGUCUGUAACUGACGCUGAGGCUCGAAAGUAUGGGUAGCAAACAGGAUUAGAUACCCUGGUAGUCCAUACCGUAAACGAUGAAUGCUAAGUGUUGGAGGGUUUCCGCCCUUCAGUGCUGCAGCUAACGCAUUAAGCAUUCCGCCUGGGGAGUACGGCCGCAAGGCUGAAACUCAAAGGAAUUGACGGGGGCCCGCACAAGCGGUGGAGCAUGUGGUUUAAUUCGAAGCUACGCGAAGAACCUUACCAGGUCUUGACAUACUAUGCAAAUCUAAGAGAUUAGACGUUCCCUUCGGGGACAUGGAUACAGGUGGUGCAUGGUUGUCGUCAGCUCGUGUCGUGAGAUGUUGGGUUAAGUCCCGCAACGAGCGCAACCCUUAUUAUCAGUUGCCAGCAUUAAGUUGGGCACUCUGGUGAGACUGCCGGUGACAAACCGGAGGAAGGUGGGGAUGACGUCAAAUCAUCAUGCCCCUUAUGACCUGGGCUACACACGUGCUACAAUGGAUGGUACAACGAGUUGCGAACUCGCGAGAGUAAGCUAAUCUCUUAAAGCCAUUCUCAGUUCGGAUUGUAGGCUGCAACUCGCCUACAUGAAGUCGGAAUCGCUAGUAAUCGCGGAUCAGCAUGCCGCGGUGAAUACGUUCCCGGGCCUUGUACACACCGCCCGUCACACCAUGAGAGUUUGUAACACCCAAAGUCGGUGGGGUAACCUU
rnacentral:rRNA from 2 species